UCUCCCUCUCUAACUCUGGAAGACUUUUGGCCCUGACCGCUUAACGAAAUCCAUAAAAAUUUCCGCUCCCUAAAAUCGCCAUGGCCAAAAUUUUCCGCUCCCUAAAAUCGUCGUGGCCAAGAUCAACAUAUAAUCGUCGAUCUCAUCUCCACUCUCUUCACCUGGAUUUCGAUUUCGAAAACCCUAGAAUCCUUCUUCGAGUCAAUGAGCAAGGUCGAUUUGAUACAAGGGAAGCCCUAGCGAUCCUCUCAACCUCGAUCUUCAUCUAAUCUCAAAAAAUAAGGGAAAAAUGCUGAAAGUUUUGAAUAAAGAAAAGAAAUGCAUUGAAUCUAAAGCCUCCAAAUCUCGAGAGAAUAGGGUUUCAGAGCGGAGAGAGAAAGGCUAUAUCGGAUGAUUAUUCAGGUAACUUUUGUACAUUUCCAAUGUCUAUCUUAUGACCGAUAAUGCAAAUUAGGAGUAAAAAAUUGCUAUCUUCAGACAAUUGCAAUUUUCUGGCUAAUAGGAGACAUGAUUAAUGCAUUUUUUCCCCCUUUUAGCUUGUUUAUUUUAAAGCAAUCUCCCUGUUAGAUUGUAAAAUAACACCAUUCCACAAAAGCCAAUAAUACAUGUACUAGUACUUUUU